rnacentral:rRNA from 1 species
AUGAAUUUAAACCCAUCGAUCAUAUGCUGGAAUGUGAGAGGGCUUAACAAUCCGGCGAAAAGAAAGGCGGUGCGAGAGUUUGUUUCGUCUAUCAAAUGUAAUAUGGUGUGUCUUCAAGAGACCAAAUUAGAUGUUGUAGAUCAGUACUUAAUGAUGCAAUGUAUCGGGCCAUCGUUUGAUGGCUUUGCUUAUCUCUCGGCGAUCGACACUCGUGGAGGGGUUCUUUUGGCUUGGGAUUCUACGGUGCUUUGGGUUGACAACAUUAGUUUGGACACCCACGGUCUCACUGGUUUGGUGCAUAACAAGGAUGGUUUUGAGUGGUGGAUCACGGUAGUUUAUGGGCCCCAAGGGGAAGAGCUCAAGAUGGAGUUCUUAGAUGACUUGCGAACCCGGCGCACAGGAUGUCCUGGACCCUGGAUGCUGUUGGGCGACUUCAACAUGAUCUUGAGGGCUUUGGAAAAGAAUAAUGCUAACAUAAACCGCAGAAUCAUGCAAGCGUUUCGGUCAUUUGUGGAUGAUUUGGAAUUGAAGGAGGUUUACAUGCAUGGAAGACACUACACUUGGUCUAAUGAAAGAGAUAGCCCUACUCUUACUAAGAUCGACCGAAUCCUGGUUUCUGUGGAUUGGGACAUGGCUAAUCCGGACUGUUUCUUAUAG